rnacentral:pre_miRNA from 1 species
CUUUGCUCCUACAAGAGUGAAGUGCACGCGCUUUGGGACAGUGAGGAAAAUAAUGUUCACAAAGCCCAUACACUUUGACCCUUUAGGAGAGUUG